rnacentral:lncRNA from 1 species
AAACUAGAGGUUGUUUAGAACUUCAAACUAAUACUAUUAUAGUGGAUUUCCUUUCUAGCUUUGAUGCCCCCAGAUGUAGGUGAUGUUGCACUGAACUGGGUUAACAAUUGAUCUGUGUUAUUUACUUCCUCCUUUUUACACUAUAAUUGUUUAAGGUGUGACAUGUCUUGAACCCGGUGUCGUGAUAUCGUAUACAACAUUUGUUAUCUGUGUAAUUGUCUCU